UCCUGGUGGCGAGUGGCGAACGGGUGAGUAAUACAUCGGAACGUGCCCAGUAGUGGGGGAUAACCCGGCGAAAGCCGGACUAAUACCGCAUACGACCUACGGGUGAAAGCGGGGGAUCGCAAGACCUCGCGCUAUCGGAGCGGCCGAUGUCAGAUUAGCUAGUUGGUGGGGUAAAGGCCUACCAAGGCGACGAUCUGUAGCUGGUCUGAGAGGACGACCAGCCACACUGGGACUGAGACACGGCCCAGACUCCUACGGGAGGCAGCAGUGGGGAAUUUUGGACAAUGGGGGCAACCCUGAUCCAGCCAUGCCGCGUGCGGGAAGAAGGCCUUCGGGUUGUAAACCGCUUUUGUCAGGGAAGAAACGCUCCGGGCUAAUACCACGGAGUAAUGACGGUACCUGAAGAAUAAGCACCGGCUAGCUACGUGCCAGCAGCCGCGGUAAUACGUAGGGUGCAAGCGUUA
rnacentral:rRNA from 1 species